rnacentral:rRNA from 1 species
GAUGAACGCUGGCAGCGUGCUUAACACAUGCAAGUCGAACGGAAAGGCCCAAGCUUGCUUGGGUACUCGAGUGGCGAACGGGUGAGUAACACGUGGGUGAUCUGCCCUGCACUUCGGGAUAAGCCUGGGAAACUGGGUCUAAUACCGGAUAGGACGAUGGUUUGGAUGCCAUUGUGGAAAGUUUUUUCGGUGUGGGAUGAGCUCGCGGCCUAUCAGCUUGUUGGUGGGGUAAUGGCCUACCAAGGCGUCGACGGGUAGCCGGCCUGAGAGGGUGUACGGCCACAUUGGGACUGAGAUACGGCCCAGACUCCCACGGGAGGCAGCAGUGGGGAAUAUUGCACAAUGGGCGCAAGCCUGAUGCAGCGACGCCGCGUGGGGGAUGACGGCCUUCGGGUUGUAAACUCCUUUCGCUAGGGACGAAGCGUUUUUGUGACGGUACCUGGAGAAGAAGCACCGGCUAACUACGUG